AUUGUGGACAAGGUGCCCAGUGUCUCCAGCUCUGCCCUAGUGUCUUCCCUGCACCUACUUAAUUGCAGCUUUGAUGUGGUCAAGAGCUGGGUGAACGAGGCCCAAGAAGCAGCAUCUAGUGAUAACAUCAUGGUUCAGUACCAUGCACUAGGACUUUUGUACCAUGUAUGUAAGAAUGACCCACUGGCUGAUAGUAAGAUGAUCAGCAAGUUAACCUGGCAUAGGCUGAAGUCCCCUUUUGGGUACUGCCUGAUGAUCUGAGUGGACAGCCAGCAAGUGGAAGAGGAGGAUUGGAACCCCUGACAGCCUAUUGUUUGACUUCAUCGAGAGCUGUUUGCCAUAACAAUCACGAGAUAGUGUUGUAUGAAGCUGCCUCAGCCAUGGUCAACCUGCCAGAUUGCAGUGCAAAAGUGUUGGCUCCUGCUCUGUCAGUGCUCCAGCUUUUCUGUAGCUCGCUCAAGGCUUCACUCAGCUAUGCUCCAGUCUGCGCUGUCAAUAAGGUUGCCGGGAAACACUGGUCAGCAGUGACUACCUGCAAUCUGGAUCUGGAGAACCUGGUCACAGACUCAAACCAGCAGCAUCACCACUUUGGCCAUCACUACCCUCCUUAAGACAGGGAGCUGAGAGCAGCAUCGACCACCUUAUGAAGCAGAUCUCUUCCUUCAUGUCAGAUAUCUCAGACGAAUUCAAGGUGGUGCUUGUCCAGGCUAUCAGUGCUCUUUGCCAGAAGUAUCCUCAAAAAACAUGCGGUGCUCAUGAACUUCCUGCUCACCAUGCUAAGGGAAGAGGGUGGUUUUGAGUAUAAGAGCACCGUUUUGGACUGUAUCAUCAGCAUCACUGAGGAGAACUCGGAAAGCAAGGAGUCAGGUCUGUCAGAUCUGUAUGAAUUCAUCCAAGACUGUGAGUUCAAGGUCCUGGCUACCCUUUCAAGUACAUCUGCUUCAUCUACAACUGUAUGGUCCUGGAGCAUGAAAAGGUUCUGGUAAGUGCAGCUAGUGCUCUAGCCAUGUUUGGAGCCCAGAGCUAAGAGAUGUUAUCUAGUAUCUUGUUGUUGCUGAAGAUAUGUGUGGUGGAUGAUGACAACAAAGUGAGGGACCGAUCCAUCUUCUAUCUGAAUGUCCUAGAGCAGAAAGAGAAGGCCCUCAAUACAGGUUAUCUCCUAAAUGGUCUGACUGUGUCCAUCCCUGGUCUGAAGAGGGCCCUGCAGCAGUACACACUAGAACCAUCAGAAAAGCCAUUUGACCUAGAGUCUGUGCCUCUGGCUACCACCCCUAUGACAGAGCAGAGAACAGACAGCACUGCCGACCACAACAGUGAAACAGCUUGAGGAAAUGGCAGCCACCCCCAGCAGGAGAUUUUCUAGGAGUGUUUAGCAGCUGUGCCAGAGUUCCAGGGGCUAGAACCCCUCUUGCAAGUCUUCACCUGAGCCAGUGGCCCUCACGGAAUCAGAGACAGAUUACAUCAUCCUUUGCACCAAACAUACCUUCACUGACCACAUGACGUUUCAGUUUGAGUGCGCAAACACCCUCAACAACCAGACCCUGGAGAAUGUCAUGGUGCAGAUGGAGUCCACAGACGCCUAUGAGGUACUGUGCUAUGUGCCUGCCUGGAGCCUUCCCUACAACCAGACUGGGACCUGAUACACACUGAUGGUUCUACCCAACGAAGACCCCACGGCUGUAGUAGGCACGUUCAGCUGUAUGAUGCAGCUCACCAGCAAGGACUGCGAUCGCACCACGGGAGACACUGAUGAAGAAGACUACAAGGAGGAACAUGUGCUGGAGGAUCUAGAAGUUACUGUGGCUGACCACAUUCAAAAAGCCAUGAAAGUGAACUUUGAAGCAGCCUGGGAUGAGAUCAGGAAUGAGUUUGAGAAGGAGGAAAAAUUCACCCUGUCUUCCUUCAGGACACUUGAAGAGGCUGUGGGCAAUAUUGUGAAGUUCUUGGGAAUGCAUCCUU